rnacentral:tRNA from 1 species
GUCUAUAUAAUUUAAAUAAAAUAUUGGUCUUGUAAAUCAAAAAUAGAUAAAAAUCUUAUAGAUU